GACAGCAGUAGCCACGGUAACACGAAGGGGGCUAGCGUUGUUCGGAUUUACUGGGCGUAAAGCGCACGUAGGCGGAUCGAUCAGUCAGGGGUGAAAUCCCAGAGCUCAACUCUGGAACUGCCUUUGAUACUGUCGAUCUGGAGUAUGGAAGAGGUGAGUGGAAUUCCGAGUGUAGAGGUGAAAUUCGUAGAUAUUCGGAGGAACACCAGUGGCGAAGGCGGCUCACUGGUCCAUUACUGACGCUGAGGUGCGAAAGCGUGGGGAGCAAACAGGAUUAGAUACCCCUGUAGUCCCUGUCUCUUAUAC
rnacentral:rRNA from 1 species